GACGUAGGGCGCGAGCGUUGUCCGGAUUUAUUGGGCGUAAAGAGCUCGUAGGCGGCUUGUCGCGUCGACUGUGAAAACCCGCAGCUCAACUGCGGGCCUGCAGUCGAUACGGGCAGGCUAGAGUUCGGUAGGGGAGACUGGAAUUCCUGGUGUAGCGGUGAAAUGCGCAGAUAUCAGGAGGAACACCGGUGGCGAGGGCGGCUACCUGGACAGAAACUGACGCUGAGGCACGAAAGCUAGGGGAGCAAACAGG
rnacentral:rRNA from 1 species